UACAGAGGGAGCGAGCGUUGUUCGGGAUUACUGGGCGUAAAGGGCGCGUAGGCGGUCCGAUAAGUCCCGUGUGAAAUCCCUCGGCUCAACUGAGGAAUGGCACGGGAAACUGACGGGCUUGAGUUCGGGAGAGGGAAGCGGAAUUCCGGGUGUAGCGGUGAAAUGCGUAGAUAUCCGGAGGAACACCGGUGGCGAAGGCGGCUUCCUGGACCGACACUGACGCUGAGGCGCGAAAGCUAGGGGAGCAAACGGG
rnacentral:rRNA from 1 species